UGUUGUACACCGCAUGUUUGGGUCUUGAGCCGCAAAAAAUUAUUAAAAUUUUUUUUUUUUAAAUCAGCCCAAAACAUGUAACACUGCAGGUCACAACAAAGCUAUGUCCAGACUCUCAGAUAGGAGAAAUGUAUUUAGAACCACUAUUUCUAGAAGGAUUUUUAUUUUAUUUUUUUUAACAUUUUACACAGUCUGAAUAAUGUUUAAAAUUCAGCUUAAGGCAGCUUGUAAUACCAUUCUAAGGUUAUCUAAUCCUUUAAAUUGCAAUAAAGCAUUUACAAGUUAAGGUUUUAAUCAAUAAGCAAUAGUAUUCAUCACCCUUUUCACAAUAUAGGCUACUUUAGAAACGUAAUUCUCUUAACAGAGGUGUAGUUUGUCGUUGCUAACCAUAAAAAUACUAAACCUAAUUUUUUUUUGUCUUUAUUCCUAAUUGGACAGUAGUGAAGGGCAAAAGAGGGUAAACCAGCUAACCCAGAUCGGGUUCUCCAAUCAAACUUUGAUCAUGUUGGUUCAUCAGAAUUUUCUAAAUUUGUGGAUUUAGGGCGCAUUCUUUCUUCUUCUGGGGAUAACUGUCAACUCAAAAGAAUUUCCCUUCUUGAGUCAAUUAAGAGUCAAUAUGUUGAUAAAGCUCCUGUUUAAAUGAAUUAUUCAGAAAAUAUUACAGCCCACCACAGUUUUCGGUACAGAGAACUAAAGAUUAAAUCUGCGUGACACAGUGGAAAAACAGCUAUAGUUGCAGAGGGAGGUGUAAAUCUAAACCAACCAUCAGCUCAUGGUUUACUUGCUGGCUUGGAUCUUUUUUUUUCCUGGCUGCUGGCCAGUUCACCUUUCCAUGAAAUAACCUACUGUUCAGGUAUAGAAAUGCACUGGUAAUGUUUAUUAUGCUGGUGAGAGUUGGCACUGUAAAUCUAAACCAUCACAGAUAUAAAAAGGGCAGGGUUUGCGUUUGUCGUAAGUCGUCUUACCGUAAUUAACCUCUUUUGGCUUUUUAUAUGUCCCUGUAAUUGUCUUCACUUGUUCUAGGCUCACUUUCUUUCACAAUAAAAAAGGGCAGGGAAAAUAACUGUCAGAGUACUUGCUCGGCAGCUUUUUUGUCCAUUGUCGUUUUUACUGGAAUGAAACUGAAUGAUGGAGCAAUUUCAAACAAAGGGACUUCAGAAGGCAGAAGGAGAAACCAGAAAGAAGAUAUUU